ensembl:lncRNA
GUGAGGAAAGAGGAGCCCAGGGCAACACAUGUACCUUGGGGUGAUUUCAGAGGAGGAAGGUGGUCAUCCUUAGAGGGCUUCAGCCAGAAGCUCCUCUCAGGAUUUGGGGUGAACCCUGAAAGACUUAAUCAUUCUCAAAUGAGACCCGGAUGCAGCAGUGACUGGCCCAGAGAGAACCACUGAACUGGGCCUCCUGGGGCUAAGAGGUUGACGAUUAAAGAAAAGGUCUUCUUGUCAGAAACCGGCUAAGCAGAACUUAGUACUUGGUGGGCGUCAGUCACGAAAGAGGUCAAGCACAAGUCGAGCAAAGGGCUUCUUCACUGAGGCCUUGUGAUGCACUUCCGCUGUGCUAGGCUUACCGUUCCAUCCGGGCUUCACCGCAAGCCCGUGUGUGUGUGUGUAUGUCUAUGCAUAUGGAUAUAGUUAACAUGUCUAUCCUCUCAUAUAGAUACAAAAAAAAGAAAAGAACAAUCUCUCCUUGUGAUGAGAACUCUUAGAAUUUACUCUCUUAACUUCCCUAUAAAUCCUACAGCAGUGGCCGCUAUAGUCAUCAUGUUGUGCAUUACGUCCCUAGUAUUUAUUUAUCAAAUAACUGGAAGUUUGUGCCUUUUGACCACUUUCCUCUAUUUCCCUUUCCCUCCACCCCUGCCUCAGGUAAACACAAAUCUGAUUUCUUUUUCUACGAAUUUGGUAAUUUUUCUUUUAGGUUCUAUGUAUAAAUGAGAUCAUACAGUAUUUGUUUUUCUCUGUCUGACUGAUUUCACUGAGCAGAAUGCUUUCGAGGUCCAUUCAAGCGGUCUAAAAUGGUAUGAUUUCCUGGUUUUUUAUGGCUGUAAUAUUCCAUCGUAUGUACGUACCACAACUUCUUUACCGACUCAUCCACCAGCGGGCACUUAGGUUGUUUCCACGUCUUGGCUGUUGUGAGCAAUGCUGCUGUGAACAUGGGGUGGCAGAUAUCUUUCUGAAUUAGGGUUCUUGUUUCUUUGGAUAUAUUCCCAGAAGUAGGAUUGCUGGAUGAUAUGAUAAUUAUAUUUUUAAUUUUUUGAGGAAACUCCAUACUGUUUUCCAUAGCAGCCUCAUCAGUUUACAAUCCCACCAACAGUGCACAAGGGUUCCCUUUUCUCCACUUCGGUACCAGCAUUUGUUAGCUGUUGUCUUUUUGAUGAUGACCUUUCUAGCCAUCCAUAUAUCCUCUUUGGAAAAAUGUCUAUUCAGGUCCUGUGUCCAUUUUUUUAAAUUGAAUUAUCCUUUUUUUUGCUAUUGAGUUGUAUGAGUUCUUUAUAUAUUUUGGAUAUUAACCCCUUUUCAGAUAUAUGGUUUGCAAAUAUUUUUACCUAUUCCAUAAGUUGUCUUUUCACUUUGUUGAUGGUUUCAGUCACUAUGCAGAAGCUUUUUAGUUUGAUGUGGUCCCACUUGUUUAUUUUUGAUUUUGUUGCGUGUGCUUUAGGUGUCAUAUCCAAAAAGUCGUUACCAAGAUCAAUGUCAAAGAGGUUUUUUCCUAUGUUUUCUUCUAGGAGUUUCAUGGUUUCAGGUCUUAUGUUUAAGUCUUUAAAUUAUUUUGAGUC